rnacentral:rRNA from 1 species
AGAAUCAACGCUGGCGGCGUGCCUAACACAUGCAAGUCGCACGAGAAAGUGGAGCAAUCCAUGAGUACAGUGGCGCACGGGUGAGUAACACGUGAAUCAUCUACCUCCGAGUGGGGAAUAACCUAGAGAAAUCUGGGCUAAUACCGCAUAACACUUACGAGUCAAAGCAGCAAUGCGCUUGGAGAGGAGUUCGCGGCCGAUUAGCUAGUUGGCGGGGUAAUGGCCCACCAAGGCGAUGAUCGGUAUCCGGCCUGAGAGGGCGCACGGACACACUGGAACUGAAACACGGUCCAGACUCCUACGGGAGGCAGCAGUGGGGAAUUUUGCGCAAUGGGGGAAACCCUGACGCAGCAACGCCGCGUGGAGGAUGAAAUCCCUUGGGAUGUAAACUCCUUUCGAUAGGGAAGAUAAUGACGGUACCUAUAGAAGAAGCCCCGGCUAACUUCGCGCCAGCAGCCGCGGUAA